AUUGAACGCUGGCGGCAUGCCUUACACAUGCAAGUCGAACGGCAGCACGGGUGCUUGCUCCUGGUGGCGAGUGGCGAACGGGUGAGUAAUACAUCGGAACAUGUCCUGUAGUGGGGGAUAGCCCGGCGAAAGCCGGAUUAAUACCGCAUACGAUCUACGGCUGAAAGCGGGGGACCUUCGGGCCUCGCGCUAUAGGGUUGGCCGAUGGCUGAUUAGCUAGUUGGUGGGGUAAAGGCCUACCAAGGCGACGAUCAGUAGCUGGUCUGAGAGGACGACCAGCCACACUGGGACUGAGACACGGCCCAGACUCCUACGGGAGGCAGCAGUGGGGAAUUUUGGACAAUGGGCGAAAGCCUGAUCCAGCAAUGCCGCGUGUGUGAAGAAGGCCUUCGGGUUGUAAAGCACUUUUGUCCGGAAAGAAAUCCUUGGCCCUAAUACGGUCGGGGGAUGACGGUACCGGAAGAAUAAGCACCGGCUAACUACGUG
rnacentral:rRNA from 1 species